rnacentral:rRNA from 1 species
AGCCUACCAUGGUGGUAACGGGUAACGGGGUGUUAGGGCACGACACCGGAGAGGGAGCUGAGAAACGGCUACCACAUCCAAGGAUGGCAGCAGGCGCGCAAAUUACCCAAUCCCGACACGGGGAGGUAGUGACAAUAAAUAACAAUACGGGGUUCUUUCGGAUUUCGUAAUUGGAAUGAGUACAAUUUAAAUCUCUUAACGAGGAACAAUUGGAGGGCAAGUCUGGUGCCAGCAGCCGCGGUAAUUCCAGCUCCAAUAGCGUAUAUUAAAGUUGCUGCAGUUAAAAAGCUCGUAGUUGAAUUUCGGGACUAAUAUGUCGGUCGUGCCUCGGUACGUACUGGUUUAUUGGUUUCUCCUUUCUGAAGAACCAUGAUGUCAUUUAUUUGGUGUCGUGGGGAAUCAGGACUGUUACUUUGAAAAAAUUAGAGUGUUUAAAGCAGCCUCACGCUUGAAUACAUUAGCAUGGAAUAAUGAAAUAGGACGUUUGAUUCUAUUUUGUUGGUUUCUAGGAUCGACGUAAUGAUUAAUAGGGAUAGUUGGGGGCAUUAGUAUUCAAUUGUCAGAGGUGCAAUUCUUGGAUUUAUUGAAGACUAACUACUGCGAAAGCAUUUGCCAAGGAUGUUUUCAUUAAUCAAGAACGAAAGUUAGGGGAUCGAAGACGAUCAGAUACCGUCGUAGUCUUAACCAUAAACUAUGCCGACUAGGGAUCGGAUGAUGUUAAUUUUUUAAUGACUCAUUCGGCGCCUUACGGGAAACCAAAGUGUUUGGGUUC